UCAGCUACUAGAAUGCUUAAGUUAAGCAAUUACAAAUAAAAACUUAAGUACAUUUGAUUCUGCAAUUUUUGCUAUUUUAGGCCCGUCUACUAGAAUGCUGAAGUUUGUCUGAUUGCCUUUGCUACUUCAAGGUCGUAUGCCUAAAGUUAUGCGAAAAGUGGUUACGCUUGGAAUUUUUUUUGCAAAGCAAGUAUAAGUUCAAAUGUGACCUAAAAACAAAUAUAAA
rnacentral:lncRNA from 1 species